GAGCUAUAAAAAUUUAUGGACAAGAAACUAUCAUUGAAAUUAAAUGGUGGCAGACAUGUCCAAGGAAUAUUGCGGGGAUUUGAUCCAUUUAUGAAUCUGGUGAUAGAUGAAUGUGUGGAAAUGGCUACUAGUGGGCAACAGAACAAUAUUGGAAUGGUGGUUAUACGAGGAAAUAGUAUCAUCAUGUUAGAAGCCUUGGAACGAGUUUAAUAAUGACGGCUCAUCAGAGAAAUCUGCAUCUCUUCUCCAAAGGGACUUCUUUAUUGUAUAAAAUUUGGUCAUAUACCUUUUUAUAGUUAACUUUUUUUUCAAUAAACUUUUACAAUAAUCAAA